rnacentral:rRNA from 1 species
UACGUAGGGUGCAAGCGUUGUCCGGAAUUAUUGGGCGUAAAGAGCUCGUAGGCGGCUUGUCACGUCGGUUGUGAAAGCCCGGGGCUUAACCCCGGGUCUGCAGUCGAUACGGGCAGGCUAGAGUUCGGUAGGGGAGAUCGGAAUUCCUGGUGUAGCGGUGAAAUGCGCAGAUAUCGGGAAGAACACCCGUGGCGAAGGCGGUUCUCUGGGACGGUACUGACGCUGAGACGCGAAAGCGUGGGGAGCGAACAGG